UACGAAGGGUGCAAACGUUUGCUCGGAAUUAUUGGGCGUAAAGCGCACGUAGGCGGCUUAGCAAAGUCGGGAAGUGAAAAGCCCUCGGCUCAACCAAGGAAGUGCUUUCGAAACUGCUGAGCUUUGAGUACUUAAGAGGAUCGCGGAAUUCCCGGUGUAGAGGUGAAAAUUCGUAGAUAUCGGGGAGGAACACCAGUGGCGAAGGCGGCGAUC
rnacentral:rRNA from 1 species